rnacentral:tmRNA from 14 species
UACUACAAUCUAUUAGUUGCCAACGACGACAACUACGCUCUAGCGGCUUAAUAUAGCCCGCUAGCGAUUGCCAUGGGGAUGCCUGUAAACCUGUGUUUUGCAAUUGUCAUAGAACAGGAUCGCGGAACGGCCGUCUGGGGCCCGACCGUUAAAACUUAACCAGACUCGCCCAAGUCACCCUGCCCGUCGGGCGGACACGGGUUAACUCAAUAGACGACGCUAAGCAUGUAGA